GCGGUCGUAGUCUAGUGGUUAGGACUUCACCCUGCCACGGUGAGGACCCGGGUUCAAAUCCCGGCGACCGCA
rnacentral:tRNA from 1 species